rnacentral:lncRNA from 1 species
UAAUUUUUGAAGAGAUCUGAUUUUGGAGAUGUUUGGAUAUAUUUAUUUGGUUUAUUGAUCUGUUCUAAUUUAUAAACUAGUAAGCUAGGUUCUGAUAUCCCAAACAGGGAGCUUAUCAAAGAAUUAAAUAAGGUAAUUUUUAUCACACAUUCAAAAAGUGAAAUAAUUAAAUAUACUUUAACCUUGCUUUAUUUUGCUACUGAAGUAACCAAAUGCUUUGCUAUCUAGCAAACUGGAUAUUUCUUUCCUCUACAACUUUCAUAGGAAAUAGUCUUUUAAAAUUUUUCUUCCAGGAGACUGAAUACCCCACUUUUGAAAAAUGUUCACAGUCCUCUCUUAAGGUAUAAUUUUACUGUGUCAGAAACUAUAAUUUGUUCCAGAGAACUAAUCGAGAGGGUCUAUUGUGAGAUGUUAAAUACAUUCUUAAUGGUUUCUAAAUCCUUUUGUGAACUACAUUAGUGUGAAAUGUUAUUUAUUUAAUCUAAUAAAACCAUUACUCACAAAAGGAAAUGUACAACACCAUCUCCUCGGAGAACAAGAAAGAGCUUCUAGGGUAAAGAACAGAACAGAGCUGUUAUUUAUGGGUACAGAUUAGGAAAAAAAACCUGAAUGAGUUGAACUUCCUCUCCCAUGCCUACACUCAGAAAAUGGAAUUCAGAGCAGAAUUAGUUAUCCAAAUUCCUUUUUACAGUGUGCCUUUCCCUUGAACUCUCCUCUACAGAAACUCCACAGCUGCUCACGCAAAUUAAUUUUGCAAUGAAAGGUUUUUUAGGAAAGGGCUGAACUGCAGUGCAGGCUGCUGUGGAUUCCUUUCUUUUUCACUUACACAGAGGCACUGUCCUGGAGUGAUGAUAUGUGUGGGCUCCAGAGGUAUGUCCAUGAAUUUGAACACGCUGCUCAAAAGAGCAUCUUUAUGGGGUAUGUCUUCAUCAGCAACAUGAAAAUGAACAAAUACAUACAUAGAGACACAGAUGAUGUGAAGGAGAAACAACAAAAUUCACUGAACCUCUCUCAAGACAGUGAGAUUUUUAUUUUCACCUUUUAUAUUUUUUGAUAUUGUCUAGCAUAGCUAUUUCAAUAAAAUGUGUAUCUUUGUGAUUCAAAUAUAUUUAAUGUAAAUAU